UCCGGCAUAGCUCAGCGGUAGAGCGGGUGGCUGUUAACCACUAGGUCGUAGGUUCGAAUCCUACUGCCGGAG
rnacentral:tRNA from 1 species